UACAGAGGUCUCGAGCGUUAGGCGGAAUCACUGGGCUUAAAGCGUGUGUAGGCGGCGGGCUAAGUACCUUGUGAAAUCCCACGGCUUAACUGUGGAACUGCUGGGUAUACUGGUUCGCUUGGAGCGGUCUAGGGGCGAGCGGAACAAAUGGUGGAGCGGUGAAAUGCGUAGAUAUCAUUUGGAACGCCAACGGUGAAAACA
rnacentral:rRNA from 1 species